GACGAACGCUGGCGGCGUGCCUAAUACAUGCAAGUAGAACGCUGAAGGAGGAGCUUGCUUCUCUGGAUGAGUUGCGAACGGGUGAGUAACGCGUAGGUAACCUGCCUGGUAGCGGGGGAUAACUAUUGGAAACGAUAGCUAAUACCGCAUAAGAGUAGAUGUUGCAUGACAUUUGCUUACAAGGUGCAAUUGCAUCACUACCAGAUGGACCUGCGUUGUAUUAGCUAGUUGGUGGGGUAACGGCUCACCAAGGCGACGAUACAUAGCCGACCUGAGAGGGUGAUCGGCCACACUGGGACUGAGACACGGCCCAGACUCCUACGGGAGGCAGCAGUAGGGAAUCUUCGGCAAUGGACGGAAGUCUGACCGAGCAACGCCGCGUGAGUGAAGAAGGUUUUCGGAUCGUAAAGCUCUGUUGUAAGAGAAGAACGAGUGUGAGAGUGGAAAGUUCACACUGUGACGGUAUCUUACCAGAAAGGGACGGCUAACUACGUG
rnacentral:rRNA from 1 species